rnacentral:lncRNA from 1 species
CUAUUCUCAAGAGUGGCUGGUCAGAAUUUUAGCAGGAAAAAGUGAGUCACCCUGGGAAGGAAACAUUAUUUAGGGACCAACAACUGCCCCCUCCACAAGACCCCUCAACUCCUAAUAGCCUCUCUAUUCUUUCUUUGUAUUGGAUAUCUGUUUCCUCUCCUCCUUUCUGUUCUACCCAGUUUCUGGCUGCGGGUCCCAUUUCUGCCUGGGUGCAUCCCUGGGCAGGCAACCCAUCCCUCCCUCUUGCUUUCUCUCCUCUGCCCACCCUGGAUCCUUCUUUGGGCAUAAAUCUCAUCUUCUUCUGCUAUGCUCAGAAGAUGAAUGAACCAGGAGAGAGAGAACAUGUUUUUAAAAUGGCGCAAAUGCACCCCAUCUCCCCCGAUUCCUGCUGGCUGGGCAAGAUGUCAAGAUCCAGGAACUCCAAGACAUCAAGAUUUCACGAUUUUUAAGACGUCAAGAUGCUAGCAUGCUAACACCAUCACGGUUCUAGAACUUUAAAGGUGUCAAGAUUCUAAAGCCUUCUGGAUUCUAGAAUCCUGUAGAUGUCAGCAUUCUAAAGUACCAUCAGGUUCUUUAUUUACUGGAUUCAUUAGUUCCAGGAUUCUAUGAGCCUGGUGUUUAGCCUAAAAAAUAAAGAUAAAUUAAAAUUGA